rnacentral:lncRNA from 1 species
GAAAGUCUCUGGGGCUUAGUGUGCUCAUGAAUCUGUGAUUCAACAAAUUUGACUGUUUGAGAUACUUAUUUAAGUACAAUUAUGUGUUUGUUUCUGUGACUUACUUAUUUCAUGUUGUAUCAUAACUGCAAAGUUUAUUCAUGUUAUGAGACUUUGCAGACCUUCCUUCUUUUUAAAGACUUUGAACAGUAUUCUUUUCUAAGACUAGAACUAAGCACAUGCCCAGACACAACCAAGAUGAUCCAUUGCCUGCCUCUACCAUGUCAGAGCUUUAAUUUGCCAGCAUAUGACACAAUAUUUCAGCUUAGUAGAUUCUUAAAUGUUAACUGAUAUCAAGAAUAAUCAACUUUCUUUAACCAAAAGCAUUUGAAGCUAAACAUCCUUUUGCAGUGGCUUCUGCCUGCAAAAACACACAGUCUUCUUUCACAGUUUCACCAUGCAGACAAUUAAGAAAGAAAACAAAUGCUGGAAAUUCUUCACAUGGAAGGAGAUAAGUUUUAACACUAUGUCACAAUGGCUGUUACUCUAAGUCUGCUGCUCAACUCUUGUUGAUGUAGAUGUAACACUUUAAAGCAUAUCAUUUCACCAGCAGGUGUCUCUAUCGGUUAGCAAGAUUUUUUUUUCAGAGUAGUAGCUUUACCAGUAGAUGAAAAUUUGGGGCCUAGAAAUGCUAAUGAUCAGAUACAGUAGCUCACAGACAAGAACUCAGAUCCAAACUCAAUAGUACAACCCCAAGAGUGUGGAUUAUGCUUUGAAUGUAGUAAUGACAAAGCUUUCUAACAUUUAAAGAUGUGUUGUAGAUUAAAUGCUUAUUUCUUUCAGUUAGUGUCUACCCAGUUUCCUUCACUGAAUGUGCAGAAGAGAAGAAAACAAUGCCUUCACCAGUCCCAGGAGUUCACACAUUUUAUUCAGCAGACAUUUCCGAGAACCUAUUUUGUGAACAUACAGUCUACCUUGGGUUAAAUGUCAUCUUUAUGACCAUAAUUACUUCAUAUGUGCUGCAUAACCAGACCAGAAUAAUACUACUGAGCUCAAAGAAAGGUAUCAAAAAGUACAAUGUAGGGAAAAUGUCAGAAGAGACAUCUUUUCUCCUCUGGGUGUUGAGAAAUAGCAUAAAUUGGUUUUAUGAUAUUCCAUAUUACUGCUGCCAGUAGGGAAGGCUCUUAUACAGAUUUGAAAAUGAAGUCUGUUUUAUGCAGGGCAGAGUGAAUAGAUGGAGGGAUUGGGUUUUGAUAAUAGACAUUUUUAUUGUUAAAUCCAA